UUUGGAGUCAGUGUGGAGCGUUUGUUUGUCCCCGCUCGCUGGAGCCAGUUGGAGCCUGUUGGUGCCUGGCUGGUUCAUGAGGUGUCCAGGCCCCGCGGACCCCUCUGUCCCCGCGGACCCCGCCGGCUCCUGCCAGGGUUAGCAUGGCUAAUGCUAACUCGAUCUGUAGCAAACAAAAGUUUUAAGUUUUAUAAGUUUUAAGGAUUUCUUCUGUUUCCGGUGAUUGGAUUUCCUGUGAGUGUCGGGUUUCCAGGCUUCUGCAGAGCUGAUGAGCCGACCUGAAUCCAGGGUGCAAGAAAAAGGGAGAAUGGAGGGGAGAUGACACCGAAUGAGACGAGAGGAUGCAUCCUUGUCAAAGGAGACGGUCCUUACCUUCCCAGUGUCUCCUCCAGUGAGCAGCAGCUCCCACACUCUUCUUAUUAUGCCAUCAGAGGACAGCAAACAGCAGCAGAGACAAAGAGCUGCAGCUGCCGGCCCAUUAUUAUUAAAACCUCGCUGUUUACUCUGGAGUAGUGGCCACUGUUCUUCAUCCACCAAAAAUUAAUGAGAUCCUCUCUGCUAACAUUGACACUUUGAGAGAGCGGCGGGAAACCAAAAGGCUUUGAUGAGCUAAUAAGCUUUUAGUUACAGAGAAUCUCUUCAUUUAAGAGCGCACACAGCGUCUGUGGAGACGCAGCAGAGGUGAGAGAACAACACGAUCACACGCUGCAUGGAAAUGACUUUCAUUUCCUUCCUCCUGUCUUCAUCUCGUCAUGUGAUCCUACAU